rnacentral:rRNA from 1 species
CAAUGCUAGCAAAACAAAGUUGGCAUCUUAUUCUUCAUAGAUCUGCAUGCUUCUAAUCUAGCAAUGCUAGCAAGACAAAGUUGGCAUCUUAUUACUAAGUCUGAUUCUUUGUGUGCUCGUGUCUUACAGGCCAUGUAUUACCCAAAUGGGAAUGUGCUAAAAGUAUGAACAAAGAAGGGCUCUUCUUUCACCUGGCAGAGCAUAGUUGCUAGUUUGCAAGUGUUUAAGAGGGGCCAUAUCUCGAGAGUGGGAUCAGGUACUCACAUUGAUACAUGGAGGAUCAUUGCAUCCCUACCGGCCCAACGAGAAAGAUAA